UACGGAGGGUGCGAGCGUUGUCCGGAAUCACUGGGCGUAAAGGGCGCGUAGGCGGCCUGAUAAGUAGGGGGUGAAAUCCUGCGGCUUAACCGCAGGGCUGCCUUCUAGACUGUCAGGCUAGAGCACAGUAGAGGCAGGUGGAAUUCCCGGUGUAGCGGUGAAAUGCGUAGAUAUCUGGAGGAACACCGGUGGCGAAGGCGGCAUCCUGGACCGACACUGACACUGAGGAGCGAAAGCCAGGGGAGCAAACGGG
rnacentral:rRNA from 1 species